rnacentral:lncRNA from 1 species
CGGUUAACCUUCGUAUGUCAAUCUUUUGCUAUCGUAUAUAAUUUCGGCACCAUCGUAUAGACUUCGUUAUUCAUCGUACUUACUUCGGUCACUUUUUGGUAUUUUAACGAGAUCGGGACCAACUUCGUACGAACUUACAAUUUUCGCAUUCGGGUGUCCAUCGUAUAUAAAAAUCGGGACAGUGUGACGCGGGCAUUAACAUAGUUUAUUCCCAUAAUUUUCACUAAAACGUGGUAUUAUUCACGUUAUUUUACAAUUAUGAAAUAUUUACUAAUGUCAAUUUAUUUUUUAGAACCACA